GUCGCAGUUUCGACAACCAGGUGAUACUGCAGCUUGCAAAACCGAAUUAAAAGCGCCGGGCGAAGGAGGCGCAGGGCAGGUAUGGUCGCCCACAGAUAACGAAUGACCUUACACAGGACUGGUCUGACAGCAUGCUUCCCUACAACCACUAAGCGGAAUUUAUAAAGAUGGAUACCCGCGCCGUCUGGACGUAAGUAUGCUAGUUUCAUUAAGAUUAAUUUUCUUUACUAUCGCUACAGUUAUCUCUAUUCCAUUAGUAAAAUAUUUAACAUUAUAGAAAAAAAAAUACAAAAAAUACAUAUUUCCGAAACAGAGGAUAUUAAAAUUUUUGAAACUUUCGUUGUAUCUUAAUACUUAUUAAGUACCUAUCUAUAAUUAAUUCUGAGAUUUUGAAGUUGUUUAUAAAAUGUUUAUCUCGAUGACGUUUGUUUGUGCAAAUAUUUACAUUACAGAGAUAACAUUUGGCGACCACCUAGAUCAAGGUGAACUUUAUCUCGAAUCCCCACUAUUAAGUCCGCAAUAUUUUUAUUACAGAACCAUAAGGCAUAAAAUUAUUGUCUAUGAAAUUUCUCUAGACUCUAUAUCUUUGGAACCUCUUUGAUAAUUGACACAAUGAUUGACACAUGGUUCUAUUUUUGGAUACCUAAUCAAUAAUAAAAUCUGUGAA